AAGCUGGAGUCAGGAGCAUGUAUACUAAAACUGGAACAAUAUACAGAAGAUUAGCAAAGCCUCUGAGCAAGGAUGACAGGCACAUAUGUGAGAUGUUCCACAUUUGU
ensembl:snRNA U6 U6 spliceosomal RNA